UACGUAGGGGGCUAGCGUUGUCCGGAAUCAUUGGGCGUAAAGCGCGUGUAGGCGGUCAGGCAAGUCAGAUGUGAAAUCCCUGGGCUCAACCGAGGAAGUGCAUCCGAAACUGCUUGGCUAGAAGACGGUAGAGGAAGGUGGAAUUCCUAGUGUAGAGGUGAAAUUCGUAGAUAUUAGGAGGAAUACCGGUGGCGAAGGCGGCCUUCUGG
rnacentral:rRNA from 1 species